UACGUAGGGGGCGAGCGUUGUCCGGAUUUAUUGGGCGUAAAGAGCGUGUAGGCGGCCAGGUAGGUCUGCUGGUGAAAACUCGAGGCUUAACCUCGAGCUGUCGGCGGAAACCAUCUGGCUAGAGUCCGGAAGAGGAGAAUGGAAUUCCCGGUGUAGCGGUGAAAUGCGCAGAUAUCGGGAAGAACACCCGUGGCGAAGGCGGUUCUCUGGGACGGUACUGACGCUGAGACGCGAAAGCGUGGGGAGCGAACAGG
rnacentral:rRNA from 1 species